GUUAUUCGAGGUGGAAGAUUUCGUCCCCGUCCACGCUCCGAUGGCUUGACAAAGGGAAACCUUGAGAGAUGCAGGAGAAUGGGACGCCUACCGAAUAAC
ncrna:unclassified sequences skipping-rope RNA